rnacentral:sRNA from 1 species
AACUGGAAUGUCCCAGUUACGAGGUCGAGAGUAACAAGCGAGAAGUAAACAAUAGCAAUCAGAAUAAUGAUUCAGAUCUAGACUCGAUCAUCUCAUACUGUAUCUAUAGAUUUGAUUAAUCAUUAUAGAUCUAGAUCUAACUAUCAAACAUAGACCUAAAGUCGAUAAAAUUAAAACCUUUUAGAAUUUGAGGAAGUGGGUAUCUGUGACAAGGAUUUCCUUGCUGCCUUUAGGACUUUAGCUAACACAACUCUGCCUGAGAAGGGAUUGGAACUUGAGCCCACUUAAUAGGUUGCCAAGCGACUCUUGUUAGACACACGUCUGACAUUGUAUACCUUAUAAUGAAACAAGCCACAAGGUUCCAUAAAACCAGAUCACAUGGAAUGUCUAAUAUGCCAGUCAUUGAAGAUGGUA